rnacentral:rRNA from 1 species
UACGGAGGGGGCGAGCGUUAUUCGGAAUUAUUGGGCGUAAAGGGCGCGUAGGCGGCCCGGUAAGUCAAAGGUGAAAUCCCUCGGCUCAACUGAGGAACUGCCUUUGAAACUGUCGGGCUUGAGGCCGGGAGGGGGUAGCGGAAUUCCCAGUGUAGCGGUGAAAUGCGUAGAUAUUGGGAGGAACACCGGUGGCGAAGGCGGCUACCUGGACCGGUUCUGACGCUGAUGCGCGAAGGCGUGGGUAGCAAACAGG